GAGCGCAUACCAGUAAAUCG
rnacentral:snRNA from 1 species